rnacentral:rRNA from 1 species
GAUCAUGGCUCAGAUUGAACGCUGGCGGUAUGCUUAACACAUGCAAGUCGAACGGUAGCAGGGCCUUCGGGCGCUGACGAGUGGCGGACGGGUGAGUAAUGCAUAGGAAUCUGCCUAUUAGUGGGGGAUAACGUGGGGAAACUCACGCUAAUACCGCAUACGCCCUACGGGGGAAAGCUGGGGAUCUUCGGACCUGGCGCUAAUAGAUGAGCCUAUGUUGGAUUAGCUAGUUGGUAGGGUAAAGGCCUACCAAGGCGACGAUCUGUAGCGGGUCUUAGAGGACGAUCCGCCACACUGGAACUGAGACACGGUCCAGACUCCUACGGGAGGCAGCAGUGGGGAAUCUUGGACAAUGGGCGAAAGCCUGAUCCAGCAAUGCCGCGUGCGUGAAGAAGGCCUUCGGGUUGUAAAGCGCUUUUGUCUGGGAGGCAAAUCCUGGCCUCUAAUACAGGUCGGGGAUGAGAGUACCAGAAGAAUAAGGACCGGCUAACUACGUG